GUGUUAUAUGAAAGGUGAGAAGAUUAGCACACCCUUUGAUAAAGGAUGAAAGAGGUUCUAGUGGCCUGCAACACAUAUAUGGUUAAGGCAAUUCCAAAAUUUGUU